GUACAAUAUUGUAAUGGAAACGCAACUAAACUGUGUAGAGGCGAGUUGAGCUGGGACCAUGUACUGCUCAGUAGAAUAACCAAUGGCAGCGCCCCCAUCUCCAUCUGUCCUGUAAUUAGUCGAAGUCUCCAGUCACAGGCCAGUUCACUUGAGUUACAUUAUGCCAAAAGGUUAUUAUGGAAUUACUAAUCAAAGCUCUCCUG